rnacentral:rRNA from 1 species
UACGAAGGGUGCAAGCGUUAUCCGGAUUUACUGGGUUUAAAGGGUGCGUAGGCGGGCCCUUAAGUCAGUGGUGAAAGCUCCGAGCUUAACUCGGAAACUGCCAUUGAUACUAUAGGUCUUGAAUUCGGUCGAGGUUGGCGGAAUGUGUCGUGUAGCGGUGAAAUGCUUAGAUAUGACACAGAACACCGAUUGCGAAGGCAGCUAGCUAGACCGACAUUGACGCUGAGGCACGAAAGCGUGGGGAUCAAACAGG